rnacentral:rRNA from 1 species
UACGGGGGGGGCAAGCGUUGUUCGGAAUUACUGGGCGUAAAGGGUGCGUAGGCGGUUCGCUAAGUUAGAUGUGAAAACUCUGGGCUCAACCCAGAGCCUGCAUCUAAAACUGGCGGGCUAGAGUUCUGGAGGGGGUAGCGGAAUUCCUGGUGUAGCGGUGAAAUGCGUAGAUAUCAGGAGGAACACCGGUGGCGAAGGCGGCUACCUGGACAGAAACUGACGCUGAGGCACGAAAGCUAGGGGAGCAAACAGG